CAAAGAGGGGGAUGGUUCUUCGACACACUCUUCUGCAAUAAGGAUCGAAGCUCGCGGUGCCAGCAGCGGAUGCUGGACGAUGAGCGAGAACGAGGCUGCUGUGGCUGUGAAGGGAGUCACCGUGCAGCUCUGCCAGAGCGCGUUUUAGUGACCUUUUUGUGUGGAGUGUUUGGCCUUCUUCACCUCAUCUCGAGUGUCUGAUUUUGGAGGAUUGAAGCUAGGUUGCAAGCACAUCCUGCUAACAGAGGAAAGGAUUUCCUCCGCCCGUAGAUGCUCUGUCUUAAGCUCUGGAUGCUUUGAAGCGCUGGUAGCCGUUUUUGAUGGAUUGAGAGAGAAUGUGGAUAUUAGGUUCUGACAGAGUUAUGGCGAAUUUCAUGUUUCUGCUCUUGAUCUUUUCGUCUUCAUAUCUCAGUCUGGAAUUACAUUAUGCUGUUGUGACCUAAGUGAUUUUUGGGAUGAAGUCCUAGAGUUUGCCAGUUUAGGUUUGAAUCAUGGCGGAUGUAGCAUGCUUCUGCAUAACGAUGGAAAGUGUAGAAUUCUCAGUUUGUUAAAACGAAGAAGUCUUUCCAAUAACACGAUCCUUAGAGUUUUUUUUCAAUUCCACUGGCUGAGGAGCACCGUCUCCUCUUUCGUCUGAGGAUAAACUUGUAAAAUUGAUCUUAUCAUUUACUUGUCGUGCUCAGGGAGUGUUAUUAAAUAGCCAUUGUAUUGACGUUCUGUGCGUUAGUUGUAGAAAUUAAAGCAAGCGCAUCUUCAAAGGGUAGGCAGUCACCGAUCACUUCUAAUUCCGAUUUUAGAUCUGAUUGUCUUGUGUUGAAGAAAAACGAUUGAUCAACUCUCCAAAUGCAAGAACAGCGCAAGAUCCUCACGACUUGAAAACGAAUUUUAAAUUCGAGUCAUGGCCACGAACGCUACAUCAGGCAUUUCUAACUUGGACUGUGGAGGAAUAAAAAAAGCUUCUGCGCCAACCAGGGCAUCAUGUGCAUCUCUCCGACGUUUUGUUAUACAUAAUAUAGCUUGGGCAUCGUUCCGUCGUUGUGAAAAUUCAUGCGAGAGGAAGGUCACAUUAGUAUUGUGAAGGGAGCUCCCGUUCUUGCAUACAGAUGCUCUUCUUUACACCCUUUGGACGAGUGAUGACCACCCAUAGACCCGACUGUCUCCGAAUUUGAGCAUCACCUGAUGAAACGUACUUUGUCAGCUCUUUCAGGUGACAAUGGCGUCGCAAUUUUAGUGUCGCUUAUGGAUGUUUUCUCCAUUGGCCGUAAGAAAAGCCCCCUUUCCAACAUAGGUGGUCGCACUGAAAGUUUGGAAGCACUGAUUGAGCAGUAAACAUUCUUAAGAGGAGUUUGUUUAGAAUGGAGAUAGUUUCUUGAGGGUGUCUUAAAAGCAGGGAGAGAGGGUUUUGUGAGCAAAGAAAGCGAUUGAGAGUAAGAGAAGUGAUUUGUGUGGUUAUUUUUUCUUUCUUGUAAUACAAUGCUUUUUUAGGAACUUGGAUACCAAGAUAUAGUCAUAGUCACGAGUUUGGAGUGGAUAGAUUGAAAUGUUUAAUAUUGAGUUUUAAAAAAGAGUAUUUUGAGUUUUGGAAACAUUUUAAGAUUCUUUGAAUUUAAUUUUUUAAAAUAAAAAUAGUUUAUUUAUUUAUUUA